rnacentral:rRNA from 1 species
UAUGGUAUGUACUGGUUUUACUGAUUCCUCCUUCUUGAAGAACUGUAAUGUCAUUAAUUUGGUGUUGCAGGGAAACAGGACUGUUACUUUGAAAAAAUUAGAGUCGUUUAAAGCAGGCUAACGCUUGAAUACAUUAGCAUGGAAUAAUGAAAUAGGACGUUUGAUCCUAUUUUGUUGGUUUCUAGGAUUGACGUAAUGAUUAAUAGGGAUAGUUGGGGGCAUUAGUAUUCAAUUGUCAGAGGUGAAAUUCUUGGAUUUAUUGAAGACUAACUACUGCGAAAGCAUUUGCCAAGGAUGUUUUCAUUAAUCAAGAACGAAAGUUAGGGGAUCGAAGACGAUCAGAUACCGUCGUAGUCUUAACCAUAAACUAUGCCGACUAGGGAUCGGAUGAUGUUAAUUUUUUAAUGACUCAUUCGGCGCCUUACG